rnacentral:rRNA from 1 species
GUGGGGAAUAUUGGACAAUGGGCGAAAGCCUGAUCCAGCCAUGCCGCGUGUGUGAAGAAGGUCUUCGGAUUGUAAAGCACUUGAAGUUGGGAGGAAGGGCAGUAAGUUAAUACCUUGCUGUUUUGACGUUACCGACAGAAUAAGCACCGGCUAACUUCGUGCCAGCAGCCGCGGUAAUACGAAGGGUGCAAGCGUUAAUCGGAAUUACUGGGCGUAAAGCGCGCGUAGGUGGUUUUGUAAGUUGGAGGUGAAAUCCCCGGGCUCAACCUGGGAACUGCCUCCAAAACUGCAUGACUAGAGUACGGUAGAGGGUAGUGGAAUUUCCUGUGUAGCGGUGAAAUGCGUAGAUAUAGGAAGGAACACCAGUGGCGAAGGCGACUACCUGGACUGAUACUGACACUGAGGUGCGAAAGCGUGGGGAGCAAACAGGAUUAGAUACCCCAGUAGUCC